UGAUGGGAGCUUGCUCCCUGAUGAUUAGCGGCGGACGGGUGAGUAACACGUGGGUAACCUGCCUGUAAGACUGGGAUAACUCCGGGAAACCGGGGCUAAUACCGGAUAACUUUUUUCUUCGCAUGAGGGAGAAUUGAAAGAUGGCUUCGGCUAUCACUUACAGAAGGACCCGCGGCGCAUUAGCUAGUUGGUGAGGUAACGGCUCACCAAGGCGACGAUGCGUAGCCGACUUGAGAGGGUGAUCGGCCACACUGGGACUGAGACACGGCCCAGACUCCUACGGGAGGCAGCAGUAGGGAAUCUUCCGCAAUGGACGAAAGUCUGACGGAGCAACGCCGCGUGAGUGAUGAAGGUUUUCGGAUCGUAAAACUCUGUUGUUAGGGAAGAACAAGUAUCGUUCGAAUAGGGCGGUACCUUGACGGUACCUAACCAGAAAGCCACGGCUAACUACGUGCCAGCAGCCGCGGUAAUACGUAGGUGGCAAGCGUUGUCCGGAAUUAUUGGGCGUAAAGCGCGCGCAGGCGGUUUCUUAAGUCUGAUGUGAAAUCUUGCGGCUCAACCGCAAGCGGCCAUUGGAAACUGGGAGACUUGAGUGCAGAAGAGGAGAGUGGAAUUCCACGUGUAGCGGUGAAAUGCGUAGAGAUGUGGAGGAACACCAGUGGCGAAGGCGACUCUCUGGUCUGUAACUGACGCUGAGGCGCGAAAGCGUGGGGAGCGAACAGGAUUAGAUACCCUGGUAGUCCACGCCGUAAACGAUGAGUGCUAAGUGUUAGAGGGUUUCCGCCCUUUAGUGCUGCAGCUAACGCAUUAAGCACUCCGCCUGGGGAGUACGGCCGCAAGGCUGAAACUCAAAGGAAUUGACGGGGGCCCGCACAAGCGGUGGAGCAUGUGGUUUAAUUCGAAGCAACGCGAAGAACCUUACCAGGUCUUGACAUCCUCUUGACCUCCCUAGAGAUAGGGAUUUCCCUUCGGGGACAGGAAUGACAGGUGGUGCAUGGUUGUCGUCAGCUCCUGUCCUGAGAUGUUGGGUUAAGUCCCCCCAACGAGCGCAACCCUUGACCUUAGUUGCCAUCAUUCAAUUGGGCACUCUAAGGUGACUGCCG
rnacentral:rRNA from 2 species